AACCAAUUCCAAUACUACCUAAGAGCCCUUAAACAAUAUUGAGUAAUUCUAUACCACUAUAGAAUAUUUUAUGUUAAAACUAGUAACAAGAAGAAGAACUUCUCCUACAAUGCAAAUGUAAAUCAGACAGGACACCCCGCUGAUAAUUAACACCCAUGAACCAAAAGUAGCAACUCAACAAGAAAACCCUACUAAACUUUAUGUUAACCUGACACUAGAGCAUUUCAAGAAAGAUUAAAAGAAAAAGAAGGAACUCGGCAAAUAUUAACCUCGCCUGUUUACCAAAAACAUCGCCUCUUGACAAAUAUAAGAGGUCCAGCCUGCCCAGUGACUCUGUUCAACGGCCGCGGUAUCCUAACCGUGCGAAGGUAGCGUAAUCACUUGUUCUUUAAAUGAGGACUAGUAUGAAUGGCACCACGAAGGUUAUACUGUCUCCUCUUUCUAAUCAGUGAAACUAAUCUUCCCGUGAAGAAGCGGGAAUGAACCUAUAAGACGAGAAGACCCUAUGGAGCUUUAAACUAUGCAACACCUGCCGCAACUUAAACUAACUUCCAGAAAAACCAUAUUUACCUCAACAGGAUGAUUGCCAGUUUUAGGUUGGGGUGACCGCGGAGUAAAAAACAACCUCCACAUUGAAAGGAAUUAACUCCUUAGCCAAGAGCCACACCUCCACGCAUCAAUAAAAUGACAUUAAUUGACCCAAUAUUUUGACCAACGAACCAAGUUACCCUAGGGAUAACAGCGCAAUCCACUUCAAGAGCCCCUAUCGACAAGUGGGUUUACGACCUCGAUGUUGGAUCAGGGUAUCCCGGUGGUGCAGCCGCUACCAAAGGUUCGUUUGUU
rnacentral:rRNA from 1 species